rnacentral:rRNA from 1 species
UAGGGAAUCUUCGGCAAUGGACGAAAGUCUGACCGAGCAACGCCGCGUGAGUGAAGAAGGUUUUCGGAUCGUAAAACUCUGUUGUUAGAGAAGAACGUUGCAUAGAGUGGAAAAUUAUGCAAGUGACGGUAUCUAACCAGAAAGGGACGGCUAACUACGUGCCAGCAGCCGCGGUAAUACGUAGGUCCCGAGCGUUGUCCGGAUUUAUUGGGCGUAAAGCGAGCGCAGGUGGUUUAAUAAGUCUGAUGUAAAAGGCAGUGGCUCAACCAUUGUGUGCAUUGGAAACUGUUAGACUUGAGUGCAGUAGAGGAGAGUGGAAUUCCAUGUGUAGCGGUGAAAUGCGUAGAUAUAUGGAGGAACACCGGUGGCGAAAGCGGCUCUCUGGACUGUCACUGACACUGAGGCUCGAAAGCGUGGGUAGCAAACA